ensembl:lncRNA
CCCAUAAUCCUCUAUGCACAACUUAAGGUAUAAAAAACUAUUUUGGAAAAUAAAGUGCGGGCCUUGUUCACAGAAACUUGGUCUCCCCAUGUCGCUCUCUCUCCCAAAUUCUGGCUGAGUCUCCAUCUGGAGCGUGGAACCCGCCAUGCUUGCUAAUUAUGCCUGGGCUUCUAAGAUCUGACCGGGGAGGCCUCAGUGUCUCCUCUCCUUCGGGAGAACGGAAGGAUGCCUGCAGCCUACCCAACUGCUUCAUCUGGAGCUCAACCAAAGAAACCGCGAUCUGUUCCAAUGGCAGAAGAAAAAGAAAUCUUUGGACUUAUUGAGAAACGGUGUGUGGAUAUCGAAUGUGGCACUUCCCAAGAGAUUUUUAAAGACUUGCCUCAGAGGACAUCUGGCUUCCCUGGUCGCUCAGACAGUAAAGAAUGCACGCACAGUGUGGGAGACCUUGGUUUGAUCCCUGAGUUGGGAAGAUCCCCUGGAGAAGAAAAUGGCUACCCACUCCAGUAUUGUUGCCUGGAGAAUUCCAUGGACAGAGGAGCCUGGCAGGCUACAGUCUAUGGGGUUUCAAAGAGUCAGACACGACUGAGCAACUUUCAUUUUACACUUCUAGAAGACAUAGGCUCAGAGGACGCUGUUCUUGCCCUUUUUAACAGAGUGAGACGAUUGUGCUCUUUAUUCUCCAGCAACUCCUCAUAAUUAACCCAUCCUGAGAUGAAUUAUAUUAUAUUUAAUUGUUUCAUCCCCUGUUCAUCUCUCCUACCUUAUGUUAAGGGCAGGAGCGAAUCUUCCUCUUAAUCAAGACUACAUAUCCAAUGGCUAGCACAAUGCAUUGAUGAAGGCAUGUCAAAUAUG